rnacentral:rRNA from 1 species
UACAGAGACUGCAAGCGUUAUUCGGAUUCACUGGGCGUAAAGGGUGCGCAGGCGGCCAAGUGUGUGAGGCGUGAAAGCCCGGGGCUUAACCCCGGAAUUGCACCUCAAACUACAUGGCUAGAGCAUUGGAGAGGGUAGCGGAAUUCACGGUGUAGCAGUGAAAUGCGUAGAUAUCGUGAGGAACACCAGAGGCGAAGGCGGCUACCUGGACAAUUGCUGACACUCAGGCACGAAAGCGUGGGGAGCAAAAGGG